rnacentral:lncRNA from 1 species
AGGAGCUUGUUUUAUCUCCUGCUCACCACACUGAUCAUGCUUUGCUUUCUUCUGUUUUAUAGGCAUUGGCUUUGUGCAGAAAGUGCAGCUCCUUUCUCCUGCCAAAACAAAACAGUAUUUUAGAUUAUAACUAGGCUAGGAGUCGUCUGCAAUUAAUUCUGCUCAAAAACUCCUCUAGCUGGAAAUGCAGAUUGCACCAAUUUGCAAUGAGCUGCUACAAGGUGAGGAAGCUGCUCACCGCUCCUAUUCCAUACUGAAUUUCCCAGCUGGGGCAGCCUCUGCCCUGGCCGUGAACCAGGCCACAUGAGCAGGAGCACAGAUAAUGAGGGCUUGGGAUCUGGAACCAACAGUGAGGGAAACCAGCACCAUGAGGGGAUACAAGCUCCACAAACUCCAAAUCCACCUUUUAUGAGCAAGCUGAACUACUGCAUUAAAAACAGUGAACAAAGACAUUCCUCAGUUACUUGGAGGCCAACAGCAGGAAAUCAGGAGUGAAAUGAUACAUGAGUGCUGGAGAUGCACCUUCAAGCUGAGAAAAUAUUGGGUGCUAAUGGACUCUUCAAGAAGCAAUCUGGGAUCUGAGAAAUGAAAGAAGAAAAAAAAGAUCCUGACACGUUCCUGGUUGUCACAAGAAGCAAUGAUUGUUCUGAACACAGCGCUGCGGUGGGCAGCAGAGCAUCCGUCUGAAAGGGAAAGACGAGACUUUUUAUAUCUUUUCUAGCUGACAUGUCUGAGGCUGCUGCGAGAGGAAUUGUGGUGCAGUAAAGACGUGUGAGAUGAACUGAUGGGAAGCUUGGGGAUGCAGGCAGGCUCCAGCUGGAGCAAGACUUCUACACAGAGAUCAGACUGUUCUGGCAGAUAAUUUAUUACCUUUCUCAAACAAAUCAGGUUGGCCUAAGGGUCAUUAAUGUUUAUAGUGAAGUCCUAAUUAAGCAAAUAUAAACCUUAUGCUCAGCAGAGAUCACAUUAAAAAAGAAAAUAAUCACAUACAACUGUCUUUCUUGUGCUUGCCUCUGCCUCUGAUUUCGUGAUGCCGAUAUUAAUCGACUAAUGGCAACAGAAAUUGCGUUGAAUGUUGUAGAAACACUGGGGCCAAGCAUGGCUGUCAUCCACAGUGAGCACAGUCCACGUUCAGCGAGCUGUGGGGCCCAGCUCUCCUCUGAUGUGCGUUUGAAGCAUCAUUUCUGUCUGUACAAGAGUGGUGUGAAAUCAGGAGGAUGCCUUUCACCUUUCUGUAAAUGACUUCUCAAGGUGUCUCUGCUCCUCCAUGCGGAAGCAAGCACUCACAUGCCAUUGAGAGCUCCUCUUGAUACUAAGAAAAUGAUCAGAGAAGGACAAAAGUAAGGGAUCUGGGCCGUGAUUUGGUCCUCAUGUCCACAUAUGGUGGUGCUGCCCUAUACAAACCACCACACAUGCAUCCUUUGUAAAGAAAGGUACACAAAAUGGCAGCUGUGAGGAAGGGGGAGGACUUGUCAUCAUUAAAAAAUGCUUGCUACCUAGGCCAUCGCUGUAAAAUAUUGUCAUGCAGCUCAUGUUAAUCACAGGGGAAAGCACGCUGAAAUUGCUCAGAUUUUAACAAUUUGCUUUUUGAGAUACAACAAUUUCUCCUCAAUAUCCUGACCUGCCAUACUGGUUGCUUCAUACUUAAUGCUCACUCAUGCAGGCCAGCCAGAAAUAAAGUAUUUCCACAGAUUAAAACUGCCUCAAACACAUAUGGGUUUGGUUUAAGAGAAAUAGAUGGAGUUUGAAACUAUUACUAUUUCAGGAAAUGAAAUACAGUUUUUCGUUUUUGUAAGGUCUUUAAAUAUUUUAUGAAGUACCAAUGUUUGCUUGUAUUUUUUUUUUAAACACCCUCUUAUGUAUUUUAUUAUGUACUUUAGUUGGAAAGACACCAAAAGGAGGGGGAGGAGGAAUCUUACACCUAUGUACAGAACUGGGUUACCGACCUGUAUUAUUGUAACAGGAAUAUACGGACAUAACAGGGCAAAUACUGUUAAUUUCUUAUAUUUAUUUGGUAGACACAUUUCUGUGAUUAAAAAAUACACAAAUAUUUGGUAAAAGAACAUUGCCCUAGGUAAGAUGAAGUAACUGUGUAUUCUAAGCAUGAAAUAAAUAUGCUGUAAUAGU